UUUCGUGUUACAACCUAUGGAGAAUCUCAUGGAGGAGGAGUUGGGUGUGUGAUUGAUGGAUGUCCUCCACGCUUGCCGAUUUCGGAAGCUGAUUUGCAAGUGGAACUUGACAGAAGGAGACCAGGUCAGAGUAGAAUUACCACUCCAAGAAAGGAGACUGAUACAUGUCGGAUACUUUCAGGAGUCACUAAUGGACUAACUACUGGAACACCAAUUCAUAUCUUUGUACCAAAUACCGAUCAGAGAGGACAUGUAAGUUGCUUAGU